rnacentral:rRNA from 1 species
UAAAUUAUGAUUUUUUUAUUAAUAGGUAUUGCAUAUCAUUUAAAGAAAAUUUUAUUUUUGAUAAAAUAUAAAAUUAAAAGGUAGAAUUUUUAUUAUUUUUAUUGUUUCAUAAUAAAAAUUAUAAAAUUUAGGAGUUGAAAAGUCGACUUUUAAGAUAUUUGUUUAGUAAAUAUUUAUUAGAAAUUUAUGUUGUUAAAAAAUUUUUAUAUAAAAAGUAUAAGUUGAAGUAUUUUUAGGAUUAGUUUUAUAACUGUUUAUAUAGAUAUUAAAAGUUGUUAGUAUAAGUAUAAAAUAAAGUUAUUAAAAUAAUAAUAACUUAAUUAUUUUAAAAUAAGUAAUUGUUUAAAAUUAUUUAAAAUUUUUAAAAUUAAUAAAAUAACUAAAAAAUUAAUCAAAUGUUUUUUAAAGACUUAGACUUUUCACAUAAAGUUUGCUUCUGCCCAAUGAAUAAUUUAAAUGGCACUCUUAGCGU